UACAGAGGGUGCAAGCGUUGUUCGGAAUUAUUGGGCGUAAAGCGCGUGUAGGCGGCUUUGCAAGUCGGGUGUGAAAGCCCUCAGCUCAACUGAGGAAGUGCGCCCGAAACUGCAGAGCUUGAGUGCCGGAGAGGGUGGCGGAAUUCCCCAAGUAGAGGUGAAAUUCGUAGAUAUGGGGAGGAACACCGGUGGCGAAGGCGGCGAUCCUGGACCGGCAUUGACGCUGAGGCGCGAAAGCUAGGGGAGCAAACGGG
rnacentral:rRNA from 1 species